GAAUAGACUUUGUGUUUGUGAGUGUGAAAAUGUGAGUGUGUGUCUGUGUAUGUGUGCGCGCGGGCGCGCGCGCUUUCCUGAACCAGGGAUCCCACUUGACAAGUUGACCUUGUCUAGAGGAGCAUUAGUGGAAAAAAACUGUGUAGCCCUGAGACAAUAGGAUGACGUCACGACCAAUGAGAACGGCCUGCAGGGGGCGCAAGGAUUCACUUCUCUCUUGGACACUGACGGGUCUCGACACGCAAAUUCUGCUCCUGGCGUUGGCCGUCAGUGGAAGAGCGUAGCUUCGGUGGGGUUCUGUCUGCCUCUGAUGGGGUGCGGAUGUGUGGUUCGUCACUGGUGAAUGGUGUUCGACGAUGCAGGUGGAUUUUGUGACGAGCGGAUUUACAAUGAGGGAAUGCUGUGAACGGGAGAAAUGAUGAGCUGUCCUAACUUGCCCAGACAUGCCAUGAUGACGUCACAGCUGACGUCACAGGAUGUCCGGAACUUGUGGUCAUAGCUGGGAUGCUUUGCAACCUGCCUCUGUGCUCCGUCGCCCGGCGAUGGUCAGCGGCCUUUCCGGGCCGCUUCCUUCAAGAUGGCGUCGUUGAUCUUCAACUAAACUCCUUCUCUCCACUCUAUCUCUACCUAUUUUUUUAUUUUUUAUGGACACAGAUUGUCCGCAACGCACAGGGUGGUCUGGACACGUCCUAGAUGCUCUCCAA